AGUAUAGCACGCCAAGAGCAAGCGAGGGGGCCAGGAGUUGCCACGGGCGAUGGAAAAAAGAUGGGAGAGAUUCGGGUCAAGUUCUGGAAGGAAGAAGGUGAGGAAGUAGGAUGCGGACGUUCUAACAGGAGGGAAAGAGCCACGUGUGUAGCAGCCAGCUGUGGGGCUGAACCAGCGCAGGCAUGCUCAUUAGAAAGCCAUGCAACCCUGUUCCUGCACAACUCACUUCGAGCCCUUCUUCCUGCUCUCUUGGCGCUGCAGCUGAGGGUCACGUGGCAGCUGCUCCACCAGGGCUCUAUGAAUGACCGCUUGCUCCCAGCUCCCAAGAUGCUUCCAGGCUCUUCCUUCCUGGUUGUGGAUGCAGAGCUGGAAACCGGAAAUUCCCUCUGUUGUAAGUCCCCUUCCCUAGGAGCUGUCCUCACCGGAGCUUGACAGAGCCGAGCUUGAGUUCUGAGAGCAAGGUAGUAUGACACUAAGACACUAAGAAGAGAGAAGUGAAUUUCUUGUUACUUGCUCUUCCAUCUUUUCUGCACCUCAGCACUCAGUGGCCCUCAUUCUUGGUUUGUAUCUUGUAAGCACAUGGGGUCUGAGACUGGGCCAUCUGCAGGGUGGCUUGCCUUUGGUGCCCACUUAUUACUCAAC
ensembl:processed_transcript 1810059H22Rik RIKEN cDNA 1810059H22 gene